rnacentral:rRNA from 1 species
UACGUAGGGCGCGAGCGUUGUCCGGAAUUAUUGGGCGUAAAGAGCUCGUAGGCGGCCUGUUGCGUCUGCUGUGAAAUCCCGGGGCUUAACCCCGGGCGUGCAGUGGAUACUGGCCGGCUGGAGGCAGGCAGGGGAGAAUGGAAUUCCCGGUGUAGCGGUGAAAUGCGCAGAUAUCGGGAGGAACACCGGUGGCGAAGGCGGUUCUCUGGGCCGGUACUGACGCUGAGGAGCGAAAGCGUGGGGAGCAAACAGG